AGCAGCCGCGGUAAUUCCAGCUCCAAUAGCGUAUAUUAAAGUUGUUGCAGUUAAAAAGCUCGUAGUUGAAUUUCGGGAUCAGCAGGUCGGUCGUGCCACUGGUAUGCACUGGCCUUGCUGAUUCCUCCCUCUUGAUGAGCCGUAAUGCCAUUAAUUUGGUGUUGCGGGGAAUCAGGACUGUUACUUUGAAAAAAUUUAGAGUGUUUAAAGCAGGCAUGCGCUUGAAUACAUUAGCAUGGAAUAAUGAAAUAGGACGUUCGAUCCUAUUUUGUUGGUUUCUAGGAUUGACGUAAUGAUUAAUAGGGAUAGUUGGGGGCAUUAGUAUUCAAUUGUCAGAGGUGAAAUUCUUGGAUUUAUUGAAGACUAACUACUGCGAAAGCAUUUGCCAAGGAUGUUUUCAUUAAUCAAGAACGAAAGUUAGGGGAUCGAAGACGAUCAGAUACCGUCGUAGUCUUAACCAUAAACUAUGCCGACUAGGGAUCGGAUGAUGUUAAUUUUUUAAUGACUCAUUCGGCGCCUU
rnacentral:rRNA from 1 species